rnacentral:rRNA from 1 species
AAAUUGAAGAGUUUGAUCAUGGCUCAGAUUGAACGCUGGCGGCAGGCCUAACACAUGCAAGUCGAACGGUAACAGAAAGCAGCUUGCUGCUUUGCUGACGAGUGGCGGACGGGUGAGUAAUGUCUGGGAAACUGCCUGAUGGAGGGGGAUAACUACUGGAAACGGUGGCUAAUACCGCAUAACGUCGCAAGACCAAAGAGGGGGACCUUCGGGCCUCUUGCCAUCAGAUGUGCCCAGAUGGGAUUAGCUAGUUGGUGAGGUAACGGCUCACCAAGGCGACGAUCC